rnacentral:rRNA from 1 species
GACGAACGCUGGCGGCGUGCUUAACACAUGCAAGUCGAACGGUGAAGCUCCAGCUUGCUGGAGUGGCUCAGUGGCGAACGGGUGAGUAACACGUGAGCAACCUGCCCCUGACUCUGGAAUAAGCGCUGGAAACGGCGUCUAAUACUGGAUACGAGAAGGGUCCGCAUGGGCACUUUCUGGAAAGUUUUUCGGUUGGGGAUGGGCUCGCGGCCUAUCAGCUUGUUGGUGAGGUAAUGGCUCACCAAGGCGACGACGGGUAGCCGGCCUGAGAGGGCGACCGGCCACACUGGGACUGAGACACGGCCCAGACUCCUACGGGAGGCAGCAGUGGGGAAUAUUGCACAAUGGGCGAAAGCCUGAUGCAGCGACGCCGCGUGAGGGAUGACGGCCUUCGGGUUGUAAACCUCUUUCAGCAGGGAAGAAGCGGAAGUGACGGUACCUGCAGAAGAAGCACCGGCUAACUACGUG